GGUCAGUGAAGAACCUAUCCCAAACCUGAUUGAUUGCUCAAAGAAAAACACAUGCGAGUCUAAUUUCUGAGUU
rnacentral:snoRNA from 1 species